ACACAUUCAUCUCUUUCGACACUUACCCUUUAUUAUACUGAACACGCUAACUCCGGCUUGAACCAACACGAUCCUGUUUCUAUGAUAUGUUUUUCAAAGGUUCUUGCGUAAAUUCGUAAUUUGCAAAGUGCCCAUAGUCACCGGCUAUAUAUAUAUAUAUAUGAACAAAGUUAAAUAUAUAGAAUUACUUGUAUGACUAACAUGCAAUUGUUGUUAUUAUUAUUUUAUAAAAAAUGAUCUAGUAUAAGUAGUUGAGCAUCAAUGAAGGAAAAAACCCAACCCACAAGCUAUUGAUUAACCUAGCUUUUCAUCAGUUUCUUCUGAUUCCAAAUUGAUCAGAACUUCUUAAGAUUUUCCUUUUCAAUCUUUCUGUUCGGGGAAAAGACAUGGGCUCCUUGGAAAUGUCUCCAACAAGGUAACAACGCCUUAAACUUUCUCCAGAAAAUCACACAAUUCCAUUCAUGCACGAAAUAUGUAUACAAGUAUAGUAAAAUACAUUUGAAGCACUACAAAAAACGAAAAUCAUCCAUUAUUAAUGAAGAUUUCAGUUGGUACCUAAUUCUUCUUGCAGUUUUACUGUUAUCUUGAGAUGACUAUGUAUGCAAAACUUUACUAUGCAUGGUGUUCGUUUGCAAGAUUUGUAUACGUAUAUAUAGCUUGCAAAGUGCUUUGUGGCUUAAUUCUGAAAAUAUUUUUUAUACAAGUUGAAAAAUAAUUUACUAUUUUAUUUCUAUAAGUGUUUAUAAUUAUAUUAGUGAUGUAAUUUUAAUUUUCAUCAUAAUAAAAAAAAAAAAUUUUCAGCCUUACCGUAGAGUAGACAUUUUUGCCGAUUUACGAUGAAUCUUCUGUUUUUUUUUUCUUAUUUUACUUUUUAUUUUGCAUAAUUGUGUGCAUUUUGAGAAUUUAUUUUCUCAAU
rnacentral:lncRNA from 1 species